UGCGGGGGGGGCAAGCGUUGUUCGGAAUUACUGGGCGUAAAGGGCUCGUAGGCGGCCCGCUAAGUCGAACGUGAAAUCCCCGAGCUCAACUCGGGAACUGCGUCCGAUACUGGCGGGCUUGAAUCCGGGAGAGGGAUGCGGAAUUCCAGGUGUAGCGGUGAAAUGCGUAGAUAUCUGGAGGAACACCGGUGGCGAAGGCGGCAUCCUGGACCGGCAUUGACGCUGAGGCGCGAAAGCUAGGGGAGCAAACGGG
rnacentral:rRNA from 1 species